GUAAUUAUCUAGUCUUCUUGCUCAAGAUGAAUGCCUGGACAAUGCGCAGGAGGCUAUUGAAGAAAAUGUUUUACCCUUGUUUCAAAUCUUUUUGCAUUUUAUAAGCCUUUCCUGGACUGCAUCCUACUCAGAUCACAUAACCGACAAGAAAGAAGUCUGGGAUGAUGUGGGGCCCCUCAGCACUGAACUUCAGAAGAAGUUGUGGAGGAUUACUUAUGCUUGAAACUGUUUCUGAGCUCUUCGAGGGAAGAUGGAAUUUGAUACAACCCCGAUUCAUUUACUUUCUGUUCCACUGGAUUUUCAGAAUAGCGAUUUUCGUAUUUAUUUAUAAUGUUUAUCAUCGCCCUAAUGCUAAUUUAAUCUCUUUGAAAAAAAAUUCAUCAGGCUGGUAAUAAAUGAUAUG